rnacentral:lncRNA from 1 species
UGCUGCUGAAAAAGGGAGAAAGAAAGAAUGGAAACAUUUUAUCACCCAUAUGACUUCUUCUCAUCAUAAGGUUUAGUUUCUAAUUCAUUUUCUUUUAAUUACUUGUAUCAUCAUGUCUUCUCUUUACUCCUGCAAAAUAUAUGUUCUAUUCAAGCCUUUGGUUGCACGAAAAUAAAUUUCUACACUUGAAUAAUUUUCCCCUUUAUUAAUUCAAGUUAGUCUUACCUUGUUCCACAUGAGGGUAAAUUAUUAUUUUCUUGGCUUUAUCCAAAUGGUAGACACAAGAUAUAGUAGGGUCAGAUCUUCAUUAUUUUACUUGGGGCACUUAUGUGAAUAAUCUUCAUUAUUUUGAUGGAAGUGUACAUAACAUCUAUAUAUACAUUUGUUAUCUCUCGUUACUGUGUUAUAGCAUGACAAAACCCUUAUAUAUGUAUAAAUUGUGCAUAAGUUGAAAUUAUUAAUUGAAGGGUAGAAUAAAAGGUUUUUAAAAAGAAUAAUCCUUUUGUAUCUUUGUAGUCUUUACACUUUAUCUGACAAAGUAUAUAUUUCACUUGAACCAUUAUGGCUAUGUAAACAAUUAAAAGAUCAAUUGUCUUUACACCUUCAAUUCACAGGUCCCUAGCCUCUUAUUAUUCUCACGUGCAGCCACUGAUACUUUUAGAUAAGUCACCAAUGUUGUUUUAUUUUAAACAUGUGUAGUAAGGAUUUGAGAGAAAGGGUGUUAGUUUUAUUUAGUAAAUAAUAAUCCUUUUGAAACCUAUCCAAAUUAAUUGUUGUUUUCUUAUUAACGUAACUUUUCCAUUUGAUUCAUGGAUGGACAGUGUUUUUAAUUAUACAUAGAAAGUGUUUUAAUCAUCUAUAAAAGGAAUUUAACUAUUUUAAAUGAAGUGGUUUUGAUUAUUUGUAAGUUGUUGGUCUAUGCUAAAUUAUUGUAGUAUUGGUUUUAACUUUAUAUGUAUUGCAGAGAUUCAUAAAACAAAGUAGUAUGUGUUAUUUCUAACGUAUUAUUUUAUAAAUUGUUGACCAAUUCUAGUUUAGUUGUUAGUUUUAGAUGGAGUAGAAUUUGAUUUAUUUUCUUUAUUGUUAAAUUAUUGUAGUAUUGGUUUUAACUUUAUAUGUAUUGCAGAGAUUCAUAAAACAAAGUAGUAUGUAUUAUUUUAUAAAUUGUUGACCAAUUCUAGUUUAGUUGUUAGUUUUAGAUGGAGUAGAAUUUGAUUUAUUUUCUUUAUUGUUAUUGGCAUGUUGUGAGAAGAGGUUCUGAAGUUGAAGGAUAGGAUGUGACAUCUUGUUUGAUUGUUGGAGAAGGAACUUGCAUAAAUCCAGGUGAGGGAGAAGACCAUUGUGGUCUUAGAGUAUUUCAUUGAAGUUUUUCCUCUCCGAUUCCCUCAAAAGUCGGAGAGUCUUGUAGAUUAGGAACUCCAAUGGAAACUUGUUUCCAUGUAAGAGUCCUUAAUCCUUUUUCAUGACGAUGUAUAUAGUCUUAGAUAUUUGAUUGUGCUGGAAAUAUAUGUGUAUGAAUUCAUUGUUGUGUGUAACAUAAUGCGAGGUACUCGCUUAUGGUAUUACAUCGUCAUGAAAGGUUGUUAAAUAAUUAUGUUUGAAUGCAUGGGAGUAUGGUGAUUAAUUAAUAAUUGUUUUGUGUUGAAUGUUUGUGACAAUGUCGUAAUUCAGAAAUAUCUCAAUAGUAAUGGUUAUGUUAUGGAUUGUUGUAUAGUUGUAUUGAAAUGGAAAAUAUAUGUAAGUGGUUGUUAUAUUGAUAUGAAAAAUACAAGAGUUUGAAAUUGAGGUCUUGCUUGUAUAUUAAAUCAUUAAGUUAAUGUUUUGAGCUCGUCCUGAGGACAUGUAAUAGUAAAAAUGCACUGGGGCUGAGACAACUAACUUAGGUUGUGUUUUUGGAAAGAUUGAAUUUGAUGAGAGCCUAUGUCUGUUCACACACUUGAAAGUAUAUUGAGAAUUUGGGCUUUACUUAAUGAUCUUGAAUACUAAGUUAGUGUCUUGAGUUCGUCCAUUGGACUUGGCAUGAUAGAAAUGCAUUGGGGCUGAGACGACUAACUUAGGUGAUGUUUGUUGAAAUAACAAAAUUGACCUUGAUUAAAAGAUUUAAUGGACUAAAUUCGGUUAGUGUACAUGCAUUGCAUUCGUGUAGUUGGAGUUGGAGAAAAUGGAAAGAUACGAUGAUAGAAAUAUCAUUGGGAUUUGGAUAGGGGCGACAAUGACGGUGAUUCGUCAAGAAGCCUUGAGGGAUUGCUUAGGUGGGAUAGUCUAGUGAGGGUCCGGGUUCAUUACUCGUAUAACCAGGAUAGUCUUACAUGCAAACUAAGCGGUCUCUGACACCCCUUGCGCAUUUCAUAAUCGGUAGAGAGGAAUCCUGAAACGGACUGGGCUUACCACGUAAGCACCUCUGGUAGAGGUAAUUGGAAAACAAUUGAUAUUGUUACUUGCCGUUGUUAAGGAUAUAUGUACUCUUGGUUGCUUUCCCACUAGGAUCUUGGCCUUCGGUAUUGUAAUUUUGGUGGUGAUUGGUUGGUGAAUUGCAUAUUACAUUGCAUGAAAGAUAUAUUAAUUGUGGAUGUGAAUAUCCUCUUGAAUAAGACACUAACUUCAUGCAUCAUUUGCAUAUGUUUGACAUUGUUNNNNNNNNNNNNNNNNNNNNNNNNNNNNNNNNNNNNNNNNNNNNNNNNNNNNNNNNNNNNNNNNNNNNNNNNNNNNNNNNNNNNNNNNNNNNNNNNNNNNUCCCUUUUCUUUGUCUUUUCUUUUGUCUAUACUGUGUGUAUAUCCAGGUUUGUUGCAGUUGCUCUAUGGAUAUCCAUUGAUGGAAAUAUAGACAAGAAGAACUUAGCUGAUAUAUAGUUAAGUAUCUUGUUUAUAUUGGGAUUAUUGGCUCUGAUUUACGAAUACCCUUGUCUUUUGAACUAAUUUUUGUGUAAGUUAUAUUUUAUAAAAAAUACUUAAGAGUGAUUCUUU